rnacentral:rRNA from 1 species
GACGAACGCUGGCGGCGUGCCUAAUACAUGCAAGUCGAACGCAGUGGGGACGGGUGAGUAACACGUGGGUAACCUCCCCUCAGAGGGGAUAACACUUGGAAACAGGUGCUAAACCGAUACUGAUGGAUGGGCCCGCGGUGCAUUAGCUAAAUGGUGAGGUAACGGCUCACCAAGGCCACGCUGCAUAGCCGACAUUACAGGGUGACCGGCCAAACUGGGACUGAGACACGUCCCAGACUCCUACGGGAGGCAGAAUUAGGGAAGCUGCGGCAAUGGACGAAAGUCUGACCGAGCAACGCCGCGUGAGUGAAGAAGGUUUUCGGAUCGUAAAACUCUGUUGUUAGAGAAGCGGUAUCUAACCAGAAAGCCACGGCUAACGACGUGCCAGCCGCCGCGGUAAUUC